GAGUUUGAUCCUGGCUCAGGAUGAACGCUGGCGGCGUGCCUAACACAUGCAAGUCGAACGAAGCACUGAGAGUUUGAGAUUUCGGUCAAGAACUUUCUUUGACUUAGUGGCGGACGGGUGAGUAAUGCGUGAGCAACCUGCCUUUCAGAGGGGGACAACAGUUGGAAACGACUGCUAAUACCGCAUGAUAUAUUCGGAUGGCAUCGUCUGAAUAUCAAAGAUUUAUCGCUGAAAGAUGGGCUCACGUCUGAUUAGUUAGUUGGUGAGGUAACGGCUCACCAAGACUGCGAUCAGUAGCCGGACUGAGAGGUUGAACGGCCACAUUGGGACUGAGAUACGGCCCAGACUCCUACGGGAGGCAGCAGUCGGGAAUAUUGCGCAAUGGAGGAAACUCUGACGCAGUGACGCCGCGUAUAGGAAGAAGGUUUUCGGAUUGUAAACUAUUGUCGUGAGGGAAGAAGUUGACAGUACCUCAGGAGGAAGCUCCGGCUAACUAUGUGCCAGCCGCCGCGGUAAUAC
rnacentral:rRNA from 1 species